rnacentral:rRNA from 1 species
GACGAACGCUGGCGGCGUGCUUAACACAUGCAAGUCGAACGGAAAGGCCCUGCUUUUGUGGGGUGCUCGAGUGGCGAACGAGUGAGUAACACGUGAGUAACCUGCCCUUGACUUUGGGAUAACUUCAGGAAACUGGGGCUAAUACCGGAUAGGAGCUCCUGCUGCAUGGUGGGGGUUGGAAAGUUUCGGCGGUUGGGGUUGGACUCGCGGCUUAUCAGCUUGUUGGUGGGGUAGUGGCUUACCAAGGCUUUGACGGGUAGCCGGCCUGAGAGGGUGACCGGCCACAUUGGGACUGAGAUACGGCCCAGACUCCUACGGGAGGCAGCAGUGGGGAAUAUUGCACAAUGGGCGGAAGCCUGAUGCAGCAACGCCGCGUGCGGGAUGACGGCCUUCGGGUUGUAAACCGCUUUCGCCUGUGACGAAGCGUGAGUGACGGUAAUGGGUAAAGAAGCACCGGCUAACUACGUGCCAGCAGCCGCGGUGAUACGUAGGGUGCGAGCGUUGUCCGGAUUUAUUGGGCGUAAAGGGCUCGUAGGUGGUUGAUCGCGUCGGAAGUGUAAUCUUGGGGCUUAACCCUGAGCGUGCUUUCGAUACGGGUUGACUUGAGGAAGGUAGGGGAGAAUGGAAUUCCUGGUGGAGCGGUGGAAUGCGCAGAUAUCAGGAGGAACACCAGUGGCGAAGGCGGUUCUCUGGGCCUUUCCUGACGCUGAGGAGCGAAAGCGUGGGGAGCGAACAGGCUUAGAUACCCUGGUAGUCCACGCUGUAAACGGUGGGUACUAGGUGUGGGGUCCAUUCCACGGGUUCCGUGCCGUAGCUAACGCUUUAAGUACCCCGCCUGGGGAGUACGGCCGCAAGGCUAAAACUCAAAGGAAUUGACGGGGCCCCGCACAAGCGGCGGAGCAUGCGGAUUAAUUCGAUGCAACGCGUAGAACCUUACCUGGGUUUGACAUGGAUCGGGAGUGCUCAGAGAUGGGUGUGCCUCUUUUGGGGUCGGUUCACAGGUGGUGCAUGGCUGUCGUCAGCUCGUGUCGUGAGAUGUUGGGUUAAGUCCCGCAACGAGCGCAACCCUUGUUCACUGUUGCCAGCACGUUAUGGUGGGGACUCAGUGGAGACCGCCGGGGUCAACUCGGAGGAAGGUGGGGAUGACGUCAAGUCAUCAUGCCCCUUAUGUCCAGGGCUUCACGCAUGCUACAAUGGCUGGUACAGAGAGUGGCGAGCCUGUGAGGGUGAGCGAAUCUCGGAAAGCCGGUCUCAGUUCGGAUUGGGGUCUGCAACUCGACCUCAUGAAGUCGGAGUCGCUAGUAAUCGCAGAUCAGCAACGCUGCGGUGAAUACGUUCCCGGGGCU